rnacentral:rRNA from 1 species
CCCAGACAGCCAGGAUGUUGGCUUAGAAGCAGCCAUCAUUUAAAGAAAGCGUAAUAGCUCACUGGUCGAGUCGGCCUGCGCGGAAGAUGUAACGGGGCUAAACCAUGCACCGAAGCUGCGGCAGCGAACGUAUCACUUAAAGCGAUUCAGCGGGUUACGAUUGACGGAGCGAAGCGACGUCAAAGCGUAUACAAAGUCGAGUCGGUUUAAGGAUACGUUCGUUGGGUAGGGGAGCGUUCUGUAAGCCUGUGAAGGUGGCCUGUGAGGGUUGCUGGAGGUAUCAGAAGUGCGAAUGCUGACAUAAGUAACGAUAAAGCGGGUGAAAAGCCCGCUCGCCGGAAGACCAAGGGUUCCUGUCCAACGUUAAUCGGGGCAGGGUGAGUCGACCCCUAAGGCGAGGCCGAAAGGCGUAGUCGAUGGGAAACAGGUUAAUAUUCCUGUACUUGGUGUUACUGCGAAGGGGGGACGGAGAAGGCUAUGUUGGCCGGGCGACGGUUGUCCCGGUUUAAGCGUGUAGGCUGGUUUUCCAGGCAAAUCCGGAAAAUCAAGGCUGAGGCGUGAUGACGAGGCACUACGGUGCUGAAGCAACAAAUGCCCUGCUUCCAGGAAAAGCCUCUAAGCAUCAGGUAACAUCAAAUCGUACCCCAAACCGACACAGGUGGUCAGGUAGAGAAUACCAAGGCGCUUGAGAGAACUCGGGUGAAGGAACUAGGCAAAAUGGUGCCGUAACUUCGGGAGAAGGCACGCUGACACGUAGGUGAAGUGAUUUACUCAUGGAGCUGAAGUCAGUCGAAGAUACCAGCUGGCUGCAACUGUUUAUUAAAAACACAGCACUGUGCAAACACGAAAGUGGACGUAUACGGUGUGACGCCUGCCCGGU